rnacentral:tRNA from 1 species
GCGUCGGUGGCACAACGGUUAUGACUCUCGCCGACCAUGCAUAUAGUCCUGGGUUCGAUUCCCUGCCGACGCA